rnacentral:rRNA from 1 species
UACGGGGGGGAGCAAGCGUUGUUCGGAUUUACUGGGCGUAAAGGGCGCGUAGGCGGCCACCGCAAGUCAGUUGUGAAAUCUCUGGGCUUAACCCAGAAAGGUCAACUGAUACUGCGGGGCUAGAGUGCAGAAGGGGCAACUGGAAUUCUCGGUGUAGCGGUGAAAUGCGUAGAUAUCGAGAGGAACACCUGCGGCGAAGGCGGGUUGCUGGGCUGACACUGACGCUGAAGCGCGAAAGCUAGGGGAGCGAACGGG